UACGGAGGGUGCAAGCGUUGUCCGGAUUUAUUGGGUUUAAAGGGUGCGUAGGCGGCUCUUUAAGUCAGUGGUGAAAUCCUACAGCUUAACUGUAGAACAGCCAUUGAUACUGAAGAGCUUGAGUACAGACGAGGUAGGCGGAAUUUAUGGUGUAGCGGUGAAAUGCAUAGAUACCAUAAAGAACUCCUAUUGCGAAGGCAGCUUACUAGGCUGUAACUGACGCUGAGGCACGAAAGCGUGGGGAUCAAACAGGAUUAGAUACCCUGGUAGUCCACGCCGUAAACGAUGAUUACUCGAUGUUCGCGAUAUACUGUGAGCGUCCAAGCGAAAGCGUUAAGUAAUCCACCUGGGAAGUACGAUCGCAAGAUUGAA
rnacentral:rRNA from 1 species